GAGACACCCCUAUGGAGCACAGGACUUGCUUCAGUGGGGCUUUGGUGCUCACAGAGUCUGCCUCUUGAGUGUGUCGCU
rnacentral:pre_miRNA from 1 species